rnacentral:lncRNA from 1 species
AUGGGUGUGGAAUCUGGCCAGGGAAGAGGCAGCUUGGUCCAGCCCCCUGUGGGAGGCCAGUGGCAGGGCACUUGGAAGGUUGCAGAGGCUACAAACAGUGCUUAUCUCCUAAGGCCCAGAGAGGCAGCCACUAGCCUCCGGUCACACCACCAGCGUCCUGAGGCUCCGAGCCUGCUCGCCCCGCCACCUCUUUCCUCGCCCGUCCUCGCCUGCUCCCAGAUGGUCUCCAGAGGAGAGUCUGGACCUCAGAAUUUACUGGACUUGGGGUUCCUCUGCCUCCUGCCCCACUUUGCCUCAACCUUCAGGGCCAGCUCUCGGGCUGCCCGCUCCAGGAAGCCUGCCAGGACUUGCUCCCCCCACCAGAACAGCUGUCACCUUCCUGCCCAGAGAGGGGAAGUGACCCAGCCAGGAUCACUCAGCAAGGGCACAGGCAGGAGCUCAACCUCCUGGAUCACGCUGCUCCUACAUCCCACACACCAGCCCCAGGCAGCCAGGCACGCUUCCAGAGAGGAACAGCACCAGACACUGUUUUGAGCAAUCCCCUGAAGAAGCAGAUGUGAUCCCUGAGACAGACCUCAAACAAGAGAACCAAAGAGAACAGGUUCUGAUGCCCAGGGAGGAGAGCAGUGGAUUUCCUGGGGCAGGCCUCUGGGGUGCCCAGCCAGCAGAGGGAGGCCGGACUGGGCCCUGCGUGCUCUCCUGGGCAUUCGCCAAGGCCUUGGUCCCCAGCCCAGCCUCCAGCCAGAGUCUGUCCCAGGGCUGUCACUAGGCAGCCUCCAGAGCCUCAGCCCGCCCUGGGGCGUCCCCUGCUCCCCGACGGAUAGAGUCAUCUGCCAAGGGGGAUCCCUGCCCCGGAGAAACUGGGAACUUGUGACACUUCCUGGGAGAGUUUUUAAAAAUCCUUAAAAACCACCCUCUCUCUUCCUGGCCCCAGGGCACCCUGGGGAACUGCCCAACCUCCUGGGGAGUCCCCAGCCCAGCCCACCUGAGUGAGUUUUUCAGAAAGAGAUGCGAUUUUCCCUGGCCAUCCCCGCUGCACACCCAGCUGAGCCCUCUCCUCAGAGCCCCGGGCCCUUCUGGGCCCGUUGUCCCCAUUCUCUGGAUAAGACCUCGAGGUGACCCGGGCAGACCCUGACUGCUGAGACGGGGCAGUCCCUCAGGGCCUGACAGUUGUCCCAGGCAGACUGGAGGCAUCCCAGCCUCACGCCCCACCAAGUUGUGGUCCCAGGGGGUCUCUGAGGUCCAUUCCUCACCCGGGCCCACAGUAGCCCACUGGGAGUGGCUGGUGGCCUGCCCGAGUCACCUGGAGGCCAAGGGAGCUGGCCCGGGACAGAGGCCUGAGAAGCUGGGUGACAGGUUGAACCAAGUGGGGUGGGGUCAGCCGCACUUCAAGUUCAGGCCAAGCGGGGUUCUGGAGGCUCCUGGGCCCAGCACCCCAAAGUGCUGGCAAACACACCCGCAUGAAUGGCACAGACAGGAGGCUGCGUGGACCCUACACCUUGGGCCUCUGUCUUGGGGCUGUGCGAAGGGGCAGGGAGCAUCUGGCUCCCAGGGGGCCGGGGGCAGUCAGUGACCUGGGCUCUCAAGUCUCAGGCCCAGGGCUGGGCGCCCAUGGCUGUGGUCGCCGUUGGGACCCAGCCCCUUCCUGGCUGGUGGCCUUGCUCCUGCACCUUCCCUGCCUGGGCUGGGGGCUCAGAAAUGCCCCGGGAGCUGGGGGCAGGGGCAGUGGAAGUGCUGGGGGCUGCCCCUCCUGGAGGAAGUGAAAGGGGAACGAGCAGGAGGGGAGGGAGGUGUUGGGAGCGUGCCGGCGGGUGGGGCCAGGGCUGACUCACAGCCACAGCUCACCCACCUCAGGGUGCAGCCCGGCCACCCCGUCCACAGGAGGACGAGGGGAGGACAGAGUCCCCGAGGGCCCACCGCGAGCGGAGCCAAGCCGAGCCUGUGUCACCACGCAGAAAGUUCACCCCGCCCCACCCCGGCCAGGCAGGAAUCUCCCCAUUUCUCAGACAAGCCAACUGAGACCAGUGAGAGCCAGAGACCCGGCCUAGCAGUUAAUAGCCUGCGAUUCUCAGAACGCACCAGAGCCUGGUGUGGGGUCAAGGCCCCUGGCCAGGCUCAAAGGGGCCGGCUGUGUCCCUGAGGCCCCAGCUGGGGAAACUGAGGCUCAGAGUGGCCAGUGGGCAGUGCAGAGCUGGGCUCCCUCCCUGGUGCCCAGGGCCCCACGUGGGGCCAGUCCUCAGCUGACGCCACUCCUCCAGCCUGGGGCCUGGGGCCCGGGCCCGGCCAAGUGGAAACCCGAUCGGCUCCCCCACGUAGCUGCGGAGCCAGGCCCUCCUGGGCCAGAAAUCUCAGCCGCCUGCUGGGCUGGCCAGAAACCUGAGCCUGCCCUGCAGCCAGAGCUUCAGUGCUGCCAGGGAUACAGAGGGGGGACCAAGCCCGGGCUGCACUGUCCGCUGGAGACACAGUCCUGACCCGGUGAGACUGGUUCUGUGCGAGCCCAGAGAAGCCCCAGCCACGGGCGUGGGUUUGGCAGGUCAGGCAGGGAAGGGGUUCCCUGGCACAAGGGCCGGUGGGGGGGACGGGGGCAGCAGGCAGGGCCCUCCCCCCUCCAUUUCCCAGGUCACUAGGGAAUGACUGGGGCUGUCACAUUCACUCACCUGGGCUGCUGAGACCCAUAGCCCUGGGGACACACAGAUGGACCUGAGGACACACGUGCCCACAGCUGGGACCAAGAACACAGGGUGGGGCUUGGUCCAGACCCAGGCAGGACUCAGCAGUGAAUGCCACUGCACACAGUGGGGCCACAUGCCAUGCCCUCUUAGCAAAGCCAGUGUGAAGGAGGCCCCCGAGCAGGCGGGGAGCCCCAGGAGAGAGCGUGCCAUCCACAAAGCAGGACUCGGUUCUUUCUCACCCCUGGAUGUCCUUGGAAAGUGACAAGGCAUCUCUGGGCCAACCGGGGUCAGCAAGACCCUGCGUGGAUGACGCCGUCUGGCUGGGCCUCCCGGGCCUUUGAGGGGCCUGUCACAGACAGCCUGGAAGCUGGCCAUCACCUGCCUACCUAUCAACAGGGAAGCCAAGGUCCAGAGAUGGGCAGAGCUUACCCAGCGCCACAGAGCACAUGCGGCAGGCUGGGGUCCCGGCCUGAGGGCUGGGGGUUGGCCUUUUGUGUGCAGCCAGGACAGCAAGGACAAGGCCAGGUUUUCCGCGGGGAGAGCCAGGCUGGUCCGUCCAGCACAGGACAGGCCCCCACUCCACUUAGCCAAGAGGCAUGAUGGCUCUAAAGCCUGACCUGGGGAGUUGCCAUGGUGGCUCAGCGGGUUAAGAACCAGACUAGUAUCCAGGAGGAUGUGGGUUCCAUCCCUGGCCUCGCUCAGUGGGAUAAAGGUCUGGCAUGGCUGUGAGCUGCAGCAUAGGUCGCAGACACGGCUGGGGUCUGGCAUGGCUGUGGCUGUGGCGUAGGCCGGCUGCUGCGGCUCUGAUUUGACCCCUAGCCUGGGAGCUUCCAUAUGCCAUGGGCGCGGCCCUAAAAAG